rnacentral:rRNA from 1 species
GUUGACGGCCACGCCACCCUGAACCAGCCCGAUCCCGUCUGAUCUCGGAAGCUGAGCAAGGUCGGGCCAGGUUAGUACUUGGCUGGAUUGUGGGGACAUCUUUC